rnacentral:rRNA from 1 species
UGAGGAAUAUUGCGCAAUGGGGGCAACCCUGACGCAGCAACGCCGCGUGAGUGAGGAAGGUUUUCGGACCGUAAAGCUCUGUCGAGCGGGAAGAAAUGCAUGGUGGCUAAUAUCCAUCAUGCUUGACGGUACCGCUAAAGGAAGCACCGGCUAACUCCGUGCCAGCAGCCGCGGUAAUACGGGGGGUGCGAGCGUUGUUCGGAAUUAUUGGGCGUAAAGAGCGUGUAGGCGGCCGAAUAAGUCAGAUGUGAAAUCCCUGGGCUUAACCCAGGACGUGCAUUUGAAACUAUUCGGCUGGAGUAGGGGAGAGGGAAGUGGGAUUCCUGGUGUAGAGGUGAAAUUCGUAGAUAUCAGGAGGAACACCGGUGGCGAAGGCGACUUUCUGGCCCUAUACUGACGCUGAGACGCGAGAGCGUGGGUAGCAAACAG